GUACACACCGCCCGUCACACCAUGGGAGUGGGUUGCAAAAGAAGUGGGUAAUCUAACCUUCGGGAGGGCGCUCACCACUUUGUGAUUCAUGACUGGGGUGAAGUCGUAACAAGGUAGCCGUAGGUGAACCUGCAGAAGGAUCA
rnacentral:rRNA from 1 species